rnacentral:rRNA from 1 species
UACGUAGGGUGCAAGCGUUGUCCGGAAUUAUUGGGCGUAAAGGGCUCGUAGGCGGUCCAUCGCGUCGGGAGUGAAAAGCUGGGGCUUAACCCCAGUCCUGCUUCCGAUACGGGUGGACUAGAGGUAGGUAGGGGAGAUCGGAAUUCCUGGUGUAGCGGUGAAAUGCGCAGAUAUCAGGAAGAACACCAAUGGCGAAGGCAGCUCUCUGGGACGGUACUGACGCUGAGACGCGAAAGCGUGGGGAGCGAACAGG